CCAGUGGUGGUUCAGUGGUAAAAUUCUUGCCUUCCAUGCAUGAGACCCAGGUUCAAUUUCUGGCCAACGCA
rnacentral:tRNA from 1 species